CUCGGAGUUUGUAUCCUGGCUCAGAUUGAACGACUGGCGGAAUGCUUUACACAUGCAAGUCGAACGGUAGAGGGGGCAACCCCUUGAGAGUGGCGAACGGGUGAGUAAUAUAUCGGAACGUGCCCAGUCGUGGGGGAUAACGUAGCGAAAGUUACGCUAAUACCGCAUACGAUCUAAGGAUGAAAGCGGGGAUCGCAAGACCUCGCGUCGAUUGGAGCGGCCGAGUAUCAGA
rnacentral:rRNA from 1 species